AAGACGAACCGAGCGAACGUUAUUCGGAAUCACUGGGCUUAAAGGGCGCGUAGGCGGGCGGCCAAGUCAGGGGUGAAAGCCCCCAGCUCAACUGGGGAAGUGCCUCUGAUACUGGUCGCCUCGAGGGAGAUAGGGGCGUGCGGAACUUCCGGUGGAGCGGUGAAAUGCGUAGAUAUCGGAAGGAACACCGGUGGCGAAAGCGGCGCGCUGGAUCUCUUCUGACGCUGAGGCGCGAAAGCCAGGGGAGCGAACGG
rnacentral:rRNA from 1 species